rnacentral:rRNA from 1 species
UGGAUUGCACGUCUAAGCAGUAAGGCUGAGUAUUAGGCAAAUCCGGUACUCGUUAAGGCUGAGCUGUGAUGGGGAGAAGACAUUGAGUCUUCGAGUCGUUGAUUUCACACUGCCGAGAAAAGCCUCUAGAUAGAAAAUAGGUGCCCGUACCGCAAACCGACACAGGUAGUCAAGAUGAGAAUUCUAAGGUGAGCGAGCGAACUCUCGUUAAGGAACUCGGCAAAAUGACCCCGUAACUUCGGGAGAAGGGGUGCUCUUUAGGGUUAACGCCCAGAAGAGCCGCAGUGAAUAGGCCCAAGCGACUGUUUAUCAAAAACACAGGUCUCUGCUAAACCGUAAGGUGAUGUAUAGGGGCUGACGCCUGCCCGGUGCUGGAAGGUUAAGAGGAGUGGUUAGCUUCUGCGAAGCUACGAAUCGAAGCCCCAGUAAACGGCGGCCGUAACUAUAACGGUCCUAAGGUAGCGAAAUUCCUUGUCGGGUAAGUUCCGACCCGCACGAAAGGCGUAACGAUUUGGGCACUGUCUCAACGAGAGACUCGGUGAAAUCAUAGUACCUGUGAAGAUGCAGGUUACCCGCGACAGGACGGAAAGACCCCGUGGAGCUUUACUGUAGCCUGAUAUUGAAAUUCGGCACAGCUUGUACAGGAUAGGUAGGAGCCUUUGAAACGUGAGCGCUAGCUUACGUGGAGGCGCUGGUGGGAUACUACCCUAGCUGUGUUGGCUUUCUAACCCGCACCACUUAUCGUGGUGGGAGACAGUGUCAGGCGGGCAGUUUGACUGGGGCGGUCGCCUCCUAAAAGGUAACGGAGGCGCUCAAAGGUUCCCUCAGAAUGGUUGGAAAUCAUUCAUAGAGUGUAAAGGCAUAAGGGAGCUUGACUGCGAGACCUACAAGUCGAGCAGGGUCGAAAGACGGACUUAGUGAUCCGGUGGUUCCGCAUGGAAGGGCCAUCGCUCAACGGAUAAAAGCUACCCCGGGGAUAACAGGCUUAUCUCCCCCAAGAGUUCACAUCGACGGGGAGGUUUGGCACCUCGAUGUCGGCUCAUCGCAUCCUGGGGCUGUAGUCGGUCCCAAGGGUUGGGCUGUUCGCCCAUUAAAGCGGUACGCGAGCUGGGUUCAGAACGUCGUGAGACAGUUCGGUCCCUAUCCGUCGUGGGCGUAGGAAAUUUGAGAGGAGCUGUCCUUAGUACGAGAGGACCGGGAUGGACAUACCUCUGGUGUACCAGUUGUCGUGCCAACGGCAUAGCUGGGUAGCUAUGUGUGGACGGGAUAAGUGCUGAAAGCAUCUAAGCAUGAAGCCCCCCUCAAGAUGAGAUUUCCCAACUUCGGUUAUAAGAUCCCUCAAAGAUGAUGAGGUUAAUAGGUUCGAGGUGGAAGCAUGGUGACAUGUGGAGCUGACGAAUACUAAUCGAUCGAAGACUUAAUC